GAUGAACGCUGGCGGCGUGCCUAAUACAUGCAAGUCGAGCGAACAGAUAAGGAGCUUGCUCCUUUGAAGUUAGCGGCGGACGGGUGAGUAACACGUGGGUAACCUACCUAUAAGACUGGGAUAACUUCGGGAAACCGGAGCUAAUACCGGAUAACAUUUAGAACCGCAUGGUUCUAAAGUGAAAGAUGGUUUUGCUAUCACUUAUAGAUGGACCCGCGCCGUAUUAGCUAGUUGGUAAGGUAACGGCUUACCAAGGCGACGAUACGUAGCCGACCUGAGAGGGGGAUCGGCCACACGGGAACUGAGACACGGUCCAGACUCCUACGGGAGGCAGCAGUAGGGAAUCUUCCGCAAUGGGCGAAAGCCUGACGGAGCGACGCCGCGUGAGUGAUGAAGGGUUUCGGCUCGUAAAACUCUGUUAUUAGGGAAGAACAAAUGCGUAAGUAACUGUGCACAUCUUGACGGUACCUAAUCAGAAAGCCACGGCUAACUACGUG
rnacentral:rRNA from 1 species